rnacentral:rRNA from 1 species
CACGUAGGGGGCAAGCGUUGUCCGGAUUUAUUGGGCGUAAAGAGCUCGUAGGUGGUUCGGUAAGUCGGGUGUUAAACCCCCAGGCUCAACCUGGGGACGCCACUCGAUACUGCUGUGACUAGAGUCCGGUAGGGGAGCGUGGAAUUCCUGGUGUAGCGGUGAAAUGCGCAGAUAUCAGGAGGAACACCAGUGGCGAAGGCGGCGCUCUGGGCCGGUACUGACACUGAGGAGCGAAAGCGUGGGUAGCAAACAGG